GACGAACGCUGGCGGCGUGCUUAACACAUGCAAGUCGAACGGAAAGGCCCUGCUUUUGUUGGGUGCUCGAUUGGCGAACGGGUGAGUAACACGUGAGUAACCUGCCCUUGACUUUGGGAUAACUUCAGGAAACUGGGGCUAAUACCGGAUAGGAUCUCCUGCUGCAUGGUGGGGGUUGGAAAGUUUCGGCGGUAGGGGAUGGACUCGCGGCUUAUCAGCUUGUUGGUGGGGUAGUGGCUUACCAAGGCUUUGACGGGUAGCCGGCCUGGGAGGGUGACCGGCCACAUUGGGACUGAGAUACGGACCAGACUCCUACGGGAGGCAGCAGUGGGAAAUAUUGCACAAUGGGCGGACGCCUGAUGCAGCAACGCCGCGUGCGGGAUGCCGGCCUUCGGGUUGUAAACAGCUUUCGCCUGUGACGAAGAGUGAGUGACGGUAAUGGGUAAAGAAGCACCGGCUAACUACGUG
rnacentral:rRNA from 1 species